GUCGAACGGAAAUUAGCUUCGGUUAAUUUUAGUGGCGGACGGGUGAGUAACACGUGAGAAUUCGCCUUUAGGAGGGGGAUAACGGAUGGAAACAUUCGCUAAAACCCCAUAUGCCCCUGGGUGAAACAGAGGAGAUAAGUAAUACUGACUCACCUCUGCCUGAAGAGAAGCUCGCGGCUGAUUAGCUAGUUGGUAGGGUAAAGGCCUACCAAGGCGACGAUCAGUAGCUGGUCUGAGAGGACGAUCAGCCACACUGGAACUGAGACACGGUCCAGACUCCUACGGGAGGCAGCAGUGAGGAAUUUUCUGCAAUGGGCGAAAGCCUGACAGAGCAAUACCGCGUGAGGGAUGAAGACUUACUGAGUUGUAAACCUCGGUGCCUUAAGGAAGAAGAUCUGACGGUACUUAAGGUGGAAAGCAUCGGCUAACUCCGUGCCAGCAGCCGCGGUAAGACGGGGGAUGCAAGUGUUAUCCGGAUUUACUGGGCGUAAAGCGUCUGCAGGUGGUUUCUUAAGUCUACUGUUAAAUCUUGAGGCUCAACCUCAAAUCUGCAGUAGAAACUAGGAGACUUGAGUAUAGUAGGGGUAGAGGGAAUUUCCAGUGGAGCGGUGAAAUGCGUAGAUAUUGGAAAGAACACCGAUGGCGAAGGCACUCUACUGGGCUAUUACUGACACUCAGAGACGAAAGCUAGGGGAGCAAAUGGGAUUAGAUACCCCAGUA
rnacentral:rRNA from 1 species